UAUGCAUCACUUAGAAAACUUAUCAGCGAGCGAGGAAUGGAGUUGUUUACAAAACCAAGCCCUUGACGUCUUCCUGGACCUCAACCUCAUCUCAUCAGCUCCCCCUACGGAGUGGGGCGGAGGCGGCGGAAACGCUGAACGCUCAGGGUCGACAGGAGCAGGGGCUGCACUGCCCGCCACCUAGUGGCCAAAGUGAGCAGGUCCCCUAAAAGACACGACGCCCCGCGAUCUGCGGUAAAUCACAUUCCUUGCGAUUCUGCAAUCACAGUUUCUUCCCUCUGCAGCCCCGGAAGAAGGAGGUGGGCCGUUCUCGCAUUGCUGUAAAGGAAUACCUCAGACUGGGUAAUUUAUAAAGGAAGAGGAUUCAUUGGCUCACAGUUCUGCAGGCUGUACAGGAAGCGUAGCAGCAUCUGCUUCUUGGAAGGCCUCAGGAAGCUCCCGAUCAUGGCAGAAGGCAAAGAGGGAGCAGAUGCAUCACACGGCGAAAGCAGGAGCAACAGGAGCAGGAGGUGCCACACACUUUUUUUUUUUUUUUUUUUUUGAGAUGGAGUCUCGCUCUGUCGCCCAGACUGGAUGAAGUGGCGCGAUCUUGGCUCACUGUAACCUCUGCCGCCUGGGUUCAAGCGAUUCUAGUGCCUCAUCCUCCCGAGUAGCUGGGAGGCCUCCACAAUCACCGAUCACUGUGUCCAAGGGAGAAGGUGCUGGAGGAGCGUGUUCUGCUCCUCAAGACUGUGGCUCAGAAGCAACACAUGUCUCUUCUACUCCCAUUGGCCAGAAUUAGUCACAUGGCCCCAACCUAACUGCAGUGGUGGCUGAGAGUGUUGUCUUCCUGAGUACCCAGAAAGAGGAAAAUGCAAAAAGAUUUGGUGAAAAUAUAGCAUUGUCUUUGCCAUAACAAACAUACUUCCUUUGUUGAUUUUUUUAAAUCAAAGGCAAUAAUUGGAGAUAAAUGUGUUAUAUCUCCUCUUGGAGAAUAUUUUGUUGUCAUGUUAAAAGCCUCUGAAAAGUCUUGCUGUAAAUAUGGAACUUUUAUUUAAUCUGGCAUUUCCCAGAUUUGGUGAUUGAGGCCUUUUAAAUAAUUUAAUAGCUUUGGAAUUAAUAUUUGGAGAUAUAAACUUUGGGAAAUUGCCCUAAAUGUGUCAACUGGUGAGUCCAAAUCUGUGGGGGGAAAAUGAUGAGCAAAGAGAUGAGUAAUGUGUUCUACAAAAGUAGAGGACAGUCAGGUGCAGUGGCUCAGGCCUGUAAUCUCAGCACUUUGGGAGGCUGAGGUGGGCAGAUCACCUGUUAGGAGUUCAAGACCAGCCUGGCCAACAUGGUGAAACCCUGUUUCUACUAAAAAUAUAAAAAUUAGCCGGGGGUUGUGGCGGACACCUGUAAUCCCAGCUUCUAGGGAGGCUGAGGCAGGGG
rnacentral:lncRNA from 10 species